GGACGCAUGGUCCAACGGCAAGAUAUGGCCCUCACGAGGCUGUGAUCGAGGUUCGAUUCCUCGUGCGUCCA
rfam:Halorientalis sp. IM1011, complete genome.